AAGCUGUGGAAGCACAUUUCUUGUGUGACCGCGUACUUUUUGUAGAACGGGCCAACGAGUAAGGGUAAGGAGCAGGGUGAAGCACUUAAGGGGCGGAGCCGUAGCGAAAGCGAGUUGUAACUGAGCGUUCAGUUACGUGACGUAGACCCGAAACCGGGCGACCUACCCAGGAGCAGGAUGAAGCGAAAGUAAAAUUUCGUGGAGGUCCGAACCCACGAGCGUUGAAAAGCUCGGGGAUGACUUGUGGGUAGCGGUGAAAUUCCAAUCGAGCCCGGAGAUAGCUGGUUCUCCCCGAAAUAGCUUUAGGGCUAGCCUCAAGGUGAGAGAUACGGAGGUAGAGCACUGAAUGUCCUAGGGGGUAUUGCACCUACCGAAGACUAUCAAACUCCGAAUGCCGUCAUCUUAUACUUGGGAGUCAGACUGUGGGUGAUAAGAUUCAUAGUCGAAAGGGCAACAGCCCAGAUCGUCAGCUAAGGUCCCUAAAUGUAAGUUAAGUGGUAAAGGAUGUGGGAUUGCACAGACAACCAGGAUGUUGGCUUAGAAGCAGCCACUCAUUCAAAGAGUGCGUAAUAGCUCACUGGUCGAGUGAUCCUGCGCCGAAGAUUUCCGGGGCUAAAACUUACUACCGAAGCUACGGCAUCAGUAAUGAUGGGUAGGGGAGCUUCCCAUACGGGUUGAAGCAUGACCGUAAGGACAUGUGGACAGUAUGGGAGUGAGAAUGUUGGCAUGAGUAGCGAGAUGUGGGUG
rnacentral:rRNA from 1 species